UACAGAGGUGGCAAGCGUUGUUCGGAAUUACUGGGCGUAAAGGGCGCGUAGGCGGCCUUCUAAGUCAGACGUGAAAUCCCCCGGCUUAACCUGGGAACUGCGUCUGAUACUGGAAGGCUUGAGUGCGGGAGAGGGAUGUGGAAUUCCAGGUGUAGCGGUGAAAUGCGUAGAUAUCUGGAAGAACACCGGUGGCGCAAGCGGAUUGCUGGGCCAUAACUGACACUGAGGAACGAAAGCUAGGGUAGCGAAUGGG
rnacentral:rRNA from 1 species